UCAUAAUCUCCGUCUCAGCAGGAUACCUUAUCUUGGCCUCCAUCACAUCGAAGGCAGGUUGGAAGAGGAAGGUGGAGUCGUCGGCGGAGACAUGGUGGUGAAGAAGGUGAUGAGUCUCUCCCGUUGGGCACCUCCGGGGCCGGCGAGGAGGAAGAGGAAGUGCAAGGUCACGGUGAAGGUGGUGGGUCUCGAGGGGCUUCCGCCGCUCCCGGGGGAAGGGAGGGUGGCGGCGGUCGAGGUCCGAUGGAGGCAGCCGCACAAGGUCGGGGCGCUUGCGUAUCUCAUGGGAAGGAAGAAGCAGGCCCGAAGCGUUUCUUCGCGCAGGCCGGUGGUGGAAGACAGCUGGGCCGUCCGAUGGGACUACGACGACGAGGCGAACCGGUUCGAGAACGUGUGUCGGCUCUGCGAUCCGGAGUCGGUCGCCGAUCCCGUCCAUGACGUUUCCUUCUCCAUUCUAUACGGAUGUGGUGAUGGAGGAGGCAAGCUAAACAAACUGGAAACAAUUGGGACGACAAUGGUAAAUCUAGCCGAGUGGGCUAAGGAAUAUGAAUCCAAGAGAAAAGGAGAAAGAGCAGAACAGAAGGAAUUCAAGAAGCAGCUUUGCAUCACCUUAAAGAAGGAAGGCUUGACGAGCCAUGGAAUGCUUCAUGUCACUGCAAGUUUCACGGAGGUGAGGCCUUUUGGAGUAAUGGAAAAGGCAUCACCUUGUGAAGACAAGAUGAUGGUAGAACGCCAGGGCAGCCAACAAAUGAAAUCUGACGAUUCAGGAAGCUUUGACACAGAAGAUAUGGUUUUGGAUCGGCUUAUUCUGCUUCGAGAAGAGGAAGAUACUUCCGAAGUUUGUAAUCAUCACAAUCACACUGCCAGCAGCAGCAACAGCUGGCGAUCAAGUCCAGAGUCAGAAUCAUCUUCAAAGAGCUGGUUCCAAUGGAGCAAGAGGAGAAAAGUUACCAAUAUGGUUAGAGAUCUUGAGGGAGAAACCACGAAGCCUUCCUCCUUUCAUGAAGACAAUUUAUCCGAAAAUGGCAAGAAGGAUUCAGCAGAGUCUGAUGAAGACGAUGAUCCAGUAGGCAACUGGAGAAACAAAGAAUUCAUCAGCAGGGACAAGCAAACAAAGCUCAAAGUCCAGACAUUCUUUGCUUCCAUUGAUCAGCGAGAUCCUAGUGCCGGUGGAGAGAGUGCUUGCACAGCAAUAGCCGCUGUGAUUGCAAGUGCGCUCCAUGAUAAUGAACUCAACACACCAACUAGAUCAGAAUUUGAUGCACUUAUUAGAGAAGGCUCAUCCGAGUGGCAAAAGUUGUGCAACAACCUGACAUAUAUUGAAAGCUUUCCUGACAAGCACUUUGACCUUGAGACAAUAUUAGAAGCAAAAAUAAGGCCUAUAUCCGUUUUACCAGACAAAUCUUUCAUAGGAUUCUUCCGACCAGAGAACUUCAAAUCUUUGCAUGGAGCAAUGUCGUUUGAUGACAUAUGGCAUGAGAUAACUAGUGAUGUUGGAGGAGAUAGUAAGGUCUAUAUUGUAGGUUGGAAUGAUCACUUCUUCAUGCUAAAGCUGGAAGUAAAUGCAUACUAUGUGAUGGAUACUCUGGGAGAGAGAUUGUAUGAAGGAUGCAAGAAGGCCUAUAUGCUAAGGUUUGAUGACUCCACGGAGAUGUCCAGGUGGCAUGAAAACAAGGCAAUUGAAGACAGGGAAGAGCUGAUUUGUAGAGGGAAGGAAUGUUGCAGGGAAUUCAUAAAUAGAUUCUUAGCGGCUAUACCAUUACAGGAGGAGUUGGAGUUGGAGGAGAAGGGAAUUGGGAUCAACACAGCCCUCCACCAGAGGUUGCAGAUUGAGUUCCAGUUGACAGAGGCUUCAGCAGACUAAGACAAUGAUCCAUCAAAGGAUGGCAAUUGGAAAAAUAACAGUGAUUUUUAUAGCAACAACUAUUGGACUAAGAAAAGCAAUGGCACCAUGUGCGACACCUGGAGAAGAAAUAGCAAUUGGAAUCACAAUAGCGAUUGGAGAAGUGACAGCAUUUGGACUAACAACAGUGCUAGUGACAGAUUGUAAUAAAGAUGAUUAUUGAGAUGACACUUAAUGUAUGUGAGGAAUACCAUAACAGCAUUUGUAAAUCUGAAUGCUGUACAACUGAGAAGGAUGAUGAAAGACUGAUCUCUCUGAAAAAUGUCAACAAGAUGUACAUAGGGGUGUGAAAUGGUCAAUCUCAACAACAAUCUCAGAAUCUUAUCAAAAUACCAAUAUGAUGUUCAUCUAUGAGAAAAGCUUGUUAUGAUGAAAUCUCAGCAGGAAAUUUUGUUUUAUGCAGAGUCCAUGAGAAAACACAUGCAACAAAUUUCAGGCUCCAGAAUACAUGGUUAUGAGGUACUGGACCGAUUUCAAGAAGACACGAUAAAAUGCAUUGGCAAGUUCUGUUCCCUGACCUGAAACUAAGUGGCAACUUUAAGUUCCUUACAAGUACUUGUGGGUGUGCUGAGGUGAACAUAAGUGUCAAUGUCCAAGCUCUAAGACAGGCUAAGCAGGACAUAAGAGGCUGCUACAAUCUGAAAAGUGUUCAUCCUGUUGAUGCUCCCUCGUGUUGCCCACAUUGAAUGUGUCUGCUUGCUGGAGCUUUAUCGAUUCUGGUUCUCAAUUCCAUGGUCUGAAACAGAAUGUUCUCGGUGAAACCAAGUGGACUAAAUACCGGAAAAGAAGAUGAAAAGCUGGAGAUAUGAAACAAUAUCAUGGAGCACUAAUAAUGGCUUUGAUGGAGCAACUCAUUAAGGGAGAGUGGAUGGGUUCUCUCUUUGAGGAGGAAUGUGGAAGAAAGGAGGCUGAUCCAUGAUAUCCAAGAAACCAUUUCUCAUCUUUCUUUGAUGUUGUUGUUCUUAAAUCUGACAUUUUAUCAUACAUUAUACUUUUGUUGUCACAA